CAAUAGCGUAUAUUAAAGUUGCUGCAGUUAAAAAGCUCGUAGUUGGAUUUCUGUGAGAGUGCCGGUGUCGGCUGAUGCUUGUACGCAGGCGCUCUUACAUCCUUCUGUUAACUGUUCUUGGCAUUUUAUUGCUGGUUCAGGGCUCAGAUAUUUUACCUUGAGAAAAUUAGAGUGUUUCAGGCAGGCUUAUGCCGGAAUACAUUAGCAUGGAAUAAUGGAACAGGACCUGUGCGUCUCUCGGGGCGCCGGUCUCCGUUGUUGGUUUCGGGGACUAAUGUAAUGAUUAAUAGGGAUAGUUGGGGGCAUUAGUAUUUAAUAGUCAGAGGUGAAAUUCUCGGAUUUGUUAAAGACUAACUUAUGCGAAAGCAUUUGCCAAGGAUGUUUUCAUUAA
rnacentral:rRNA from 1 species